AGAAUCAACGCUGGCGGCGUGCCUAACACAUGCAAGUCGCACGAGAAAGGGGAGCAAUCCCUGAGUACAGUGGCGCACGGGUGAGUAACACGUGAAUAAUCUACCUCCGAGUGGGGAAUAACUGAGAGAAAUCUUAGCUAAUACCGCAUAACACUUACGAGUCAAAGCAGCAAUGCGCUUGGAGAGGAGUUCGCGGCCGAUUAGUUAGUUGGCGGGGUAAUGGCCCACCAAGACGAUGAUCGGUAUCCGGCCUGAGAGGGCGCACGGACACACUGGAACUGAAACACGGUCCAGACUCCUACGGGAGGCAGCAGUGGGGAAUUUUGCGCAAUGGGGGAAACCCUGACGCAGCAACGCCGCGUGGAGGAUGAAGCCCCUUGGGGUGUAAACUCCUUUCGAUCGGGAAGAUAAUGACGGUACCGAUAUAAGAAGCCCCGGCUAACUUCGUGCCAGCAGCCGC
rnacentral:rRNA from 1 species